CCCCCCGGCCAGCGCAGCGAGAGGAUCCCCCGGGCGGCAACAGGCGCCUCCGCAGCAAAGGUUCCGCGGGGAGGAGAAAGGUUCCCACAUCCCACGGGGCAGGAGAGACAGCAGCAGGGCCGCGGGGAGGUAGCAGAAACCCCCUGGAGGUUUCUGGGCCUGGUGUCUCAGCGGGGUCCAGCUGAGACUCCUGCCCCCCUCCAGUCCCACAGCCCUUCUCAUGGCUGCCACCCAAACUUUGUCAAUCAGGCCUGGAACCAGAGGGCAUCACCCACCAUGCAGAUAAACAUCCAUCACCCACCUUGGACCCACACAGGCCAAAUACUCUGAUCUCCCUUGGUUGUUUAUUAGGAAGUGCUGGCUCCUUAAGUUCACGUUGGACUACAAGUGCCUGUUGCUCAUAUCUGGCCUGAAGCUGCAGGUUCUGAGACAGCAACUGGCUGCAUGUGAGAAUUCGACAGGCCUCACGUGCCCAGGGAGUGUCACAUUUUGAAUAUCCCUGCUCUGUGAAAACAAUUGACCCCAUCACAUUAGUGCUGGUUCCACAGCCCUGAAGAAGCACUUGACCCCACCACUCAGCUAUCAUUAGGCGUCAAGUCAACCCCUACAAUUACUGAAAGGCAAGACAGAAAGGAAACACGCUGCCACUAUUCAGAACCGAUGUCCAUUAAGUGCAGAACUGAGCAUAGGCAACUGUGAAAUACAACACUUUAAUUCCAUCUAGGGGCUGGACCUGGUAAUGUCAGACUGCUUAUUUCUAGCAUUACCAAUGUUGUAUUACAUGGCUCCCGUGAACUACUGUGGCUUAGGUGUCCACUGUCCUCAGUUCUCUGAAGUACAGAGCCCCGUUGAUGUCGCAUCCCAGAAUAGAGGUUGUCUAGUAAAGGUCACGUACAUUCCAGAGAUGCAGGAGCCAAGGAAGGAGGAAAAGCAGCCUAAGAACAAGGGUCCUCAGACCACAGAACGGCAGACACAAGAGUGCCUCAUAAUGGAAAUAGUAUGUCCCAUGAGGCUCUUCAAAAGAAUGAAUGAGAGGCUCCAGGCAGGCAGCACACCUCCUGGGACAUCAAGUCGGGUUGACUGAUGGAUGUCUCUGUUCCCCUGCUGAAGGGAAUCCCCAGCCACCAGCACUCUACAUCUCCUUCUCUCAGGUGCAGUGGCAGUGAGCCUCCCAGCCUUGGAGACAAACAGCUGCUUUUCAUCAGCCAUUAGAGUCUGCUCCUCACCUCCUGUUGCCAGUAUGGCAUCCUAGUUCUUCACCUCAGUGGACUGGGGACCUGAGUGGGGGUGGAGCACUGUCGACUGCCCAAGGUGGCCAGCAGCCAGUCUCCUCCUCACAGAGAAGCCAGUUCUCCUUCCUUCUGUGGAGCAGCUGUAGUCAUCUGUAGUCAACUAGCCUCCUCCAUCCCAGAUGUCGCCGUGUGCAUCCUGUCGAAGUCCUCACGCUCCUGGAUGCUACACAGAUAAGCCACCUCCUCUUGCAGCUCUCUUACCAGCUUCCUGAGAGACUCCACCAACAGACACCUCUCACACCUGGUGGUUCCCCCUGCCUGGCUUUUGCUGGCCUCCAAUGGCAGUUUGCGUGUCUGGCAGGGGCCUCCCAUAGGUGCAGGCAAAGGAACAGGUGCAGCUAGCAGUGGUCUUGGCAACAUGCCAUUUUCCUCCCAUGCUGGGUUCUUCCUGUACCUUCAAGUUAAGGAAACAAAAAGCAACACAAGUCUACCUCCCUGCCUCCUUCCAGUGGCGAACAUGGAAAAUCUCCAGUGGAAGAACAGAAACAGAUAAAAUAUCAGACUGUUUUUGGAAGAGUCAAGCUGUCUGAACAAGGGGUGCUAUUCCAUUGCCACAAACAGAAGACACAGCUGGAGAAGUGGGGACAGAAAGGACUUUUGCCUUUCCCAAAGACCCUGACCAAACCCAAAGACUCUCGGCAGUGGUGAGAACUCCAAAGGGGGAUAGCAUUUAGGCAUUUAUAGUUUUGCCUAGAUCCGUAACUCUCCUGUGCUGUCUAAGAAUUAAAUAUAUAUGUUUAAGAAGCUCCUUUGCAAAGUUUG